UACGUAGGGGGCAAGCGUUGUCCGGAUUCAUUGGGCGUAAAGAGCUCGUAGGCGGUUCGGCAAGUCGGGUGUGAAAACUCCAGGCUCAACCUGGAGACGCCACCCGAUACUGCUGUGACUUGAGUCCGGUAGGGGACCACGGAAUUCCUGGUGUAGCGGUGAAAUGCGCAGAUAUCAGGAGGAACACCGGUGGCGAAGGCGGGUCUCUGGGCAACAACUGACGCUGAGGAGCGAAAGCGUGGGGAGCGAACAGG
rnacentral:rRNA from 1 species